rnacentral:tRNA from 1 species
GUUUAUGUAGCUUAAAUUUUAAAGCAAGGCACUGAAAAUGCCUAGAUGUGUCUCAUGACUCCACAAACA